GUUGUUGCCAGCUUCAUCUCCACACAAUGCAAAACCCUCCCUACUCCUCUCCACUUCCCUUUCCCUUGUUUCAAAUGUAUCUCUAUAGUUUGUGGUGAAUUCCUCGGUGCACCUUUCUUUAGUGCCCUCUUCUAGCUCUUUUAUUCAUUCAUUCGUUCGUUCAUUCUUCAAAUCUUGGAGCUGCCCCAACCUAAUCUCUCAGUCUUCUUUCUUAAUGCUGCUUUUCAGUUUCCCAUUAGCAUUAACAGAGAAGCUGUAAUGAGUAGACCCACUGAAAUCAAUAAACCUAAGUCAGGCUGCAAUCCUGUGCCUACUUAUUGGGGAACAAGCUCCAUAGGCUUCAGUGGAACUUACCUUUGAGUAGACUUGCCUCAGAGUGCACUGUUAGUCAUGCCUAUUAACUUCAGUGGGUCUGCUCUGAGUAGGACUAGCAUUGAAUGCCACCUUACCUUCUGGGGUACUGAAAUUUUCAGCAAACUUUCCAAUGGAACUAGAGCCCUGGAACUGAGUGAUCAUCUGAAACAUCUGAUGACAGGGUGUGCUUUUAUCUGGAAGCUGCGAUGUUCAGCAGAGAAGGAAGCUGCUGGGAAAUGUCAAUGUGAGGCACAUACAGAGAGUCAUUGGUAAAGGUACCAUAGUAACUUUGGAUCACAGAGGAGCUUUGAAGAAAUAAGGACAUGGAUCAGUGAGAGAGGCUGUAGCAAAAAAAAAAGAAAUAAAAAAUGAAACAAAACAAAACUAUUGACAGAAUGUCAUGAAGCUGUUGAGAAGACGGUAGUAAAAAAUAAAAAAGAAGGAAUUUGUUCCCCUCAUUGAUCAGUCGGUGGACAGGAUGUAUUCAAAUUCAAGGCAUCUUCCGUGUGACAUUUCUAGUGGAACAAAGGCAGCAAACCGAGCACACUGCUUAGUAGAAAAUGGAUUGUUGGCUCCCAAUAAUAAAAUGGAUAAAGAAUGGAUUAGAUUAAGAGAGCAAAAUGGAUACAAAGCAUGCUGAUACAGCUACCGUAAUGAAAAAAGACCUGCAUAACUCAUAUUUGGCACCUUACAGAUAGAUUUUAACUGGAGAGAAAGAAACAUAAUAGUCACCCCUUUGGGUGAAAUGUCCUUCAAUUAAUCAAUAGCUAUUACGUGAAAAAGGGAGAGAACAGAAUGGCUUUUAAGUAUAGAUAUUUCCCAGCAUCUGCUGAGGUCUGCUUUGCUUUGGCUUGCAUGCUUGGUAUAUUUGCACUGUGAAACCCAGGCAAGCAAUGUAGUGGAAUGCUCUGUGGAGUAUUUGGAAGGUGGAACAGGGGACUACUGAGCAGUCUGAUUCCAUCCCAUUUCAGUUUUGUCUGUACUCAAUCAUGU